rnacentral:rRNA from 1 species
GGCUCAGGAUGAACGCUAGCGGCAGGCCUAAUACAUGCAAGUCGAGGGGCAGCAGGGAUAGCAAUAUUCGCUGGCGACCGGCGCACGGGUGCGUAACACGUAUACAAUCUGCCUUUAACAGGGGGAUAGCCCGGAGAAAUCCGGAUUAAUACCCCAUAAUAGUAAUCAUGGCAUCAUGGUUAUUUGAAAGCUCCGGCGGUUAAAGAUGAGUAUGCGUCUGAUUAGCUAGUUGGUGAGGUAACGGCUCACCAAGGCGACGAUCAGUAGGGGAUCUGAGAGGAUUAACCCCCACACGGAUACUGAGACACGGAUCCGACUCCUACGGGAGGCAGCAGUAAGGAAUAUUGGACAAUGCCCGCAAGGGUGAUCCAGCCAUGCCGCGUGCAGGAAGACGGCCCUAUGGGUUGUAAACUGCUUUUACACCGGAGAAAACCCCCCUUCGUGAAGGGGGCUGAUAGUAUGGUGAGAAUAAGCAUCGGCUAACUUCGUGCCAGCAGCCGCGGUAAGACGAAGGAUGCAAGCGUUAUCCGGAUUCAUUGGGUUUAAAGGGAGCGUAGGUGGUCUUAUAAGUCAGUGGUGAAAUCUCUGGGCUUAACCCAGAAAUUGCCAUUGAUACUGUAGGACUUGAGUACAGUUGCUGUGGGCGGAAUAUGACAUGUAGUGGUGAAAUACAUAGAGAUGUCAUAGAACACCGAUUGCGAAGGCAGCUCACAAAACUGUAACUGACACUGAGGCUCGAAAGUGCGGGGAUCAAACAGGAUUAGAUACCCUGGUAGUCCGCACUGUAAACGAUGAUUACUCGCUGCUGGGAGGUAACUUUCAGUGGCUUAGCGAAAGCGAUAAGUAAUCCACCUGGGGAGUACGCCGGCAACGGUGAAACUC